rnacentral:rRNA from 1 species
CCUACGGGAGGCAGCAGUGAGGAAUAUUGGUCAAUGGGCGCGAGCCUGAACCAGCCAAGUCGCGUGAGGGAAGACGGUCCGAUGGAGUGUAAACCUCUUUUGUCGGGGAGCAAAAGACGCCACGCGUGGCGUUCCGAGAGUACCAGAAAAAAAAGCAUCGGCUAACGCCGUGCCAGCAGCCGCGGUAAUACGGAGGAUGCGAGCGUUAUCCGGAUUUAUGGGGUUUAAAGGGUGCGCAGGCGGAAGAUCAAGUCAGCGGUAAAAUUGAGAGGCUCAACCUCUUCGAGCCGUUGAAACUGGUUUUCUUGAGUGAGCGAGAAGUAUGCGGAAUGCGUGGUGUAGCGGUGAAAUGCAUAGAUAUCACGCAGAACUCCGAUUGCGAAGGCAGCAUACCGGCGCUCAACUGACGCUCAUGCACGAAAGUGUGGGUAUCGAACAGGAGUAGAUACCCGAGUAGUC